GAAUAUUGGACAAUGGACGCAAGUCUGAUCCAGCCAUGCCGCGUGCAGGAAGAAUGCCCUCUGGGUUGUAAACUGCUUUUAUAUGGGAAUAAACCUCUCCACGUGUGGAGAGCUGAAUGUACCAUAAGAGUAAGCACCGGCUAACUCCGUUCCAGCAGCCGCGGUAAUACGGAGGGUGCAAGCGUUAUCCGGAUUUAUUGGGUUUAAAGGGUCCGUAGGUGGAAUUGUAAGUCAGUGGUGAAAUCUUUCAGCUCAACUGGAAAAUUGCCAUUGAUACUGCAGUUCUUGAGUAUACUUGAAGUAGGCGGAAUAUGUCAUGUAGCGGUGAAAUGCAUAGAUAUGACAUAGAACACCGAUGGCGAAGGCAGCUUACUAAAUUAUUACUGACACUGAUGGACGAAAGCGUGGGGAGCGAACAGG
rnacentral:rRNA from 1 species